UACGUAGGGUGCAAGCGUUUGUCCGGAAUUAUUGGGCGUAAAAGAGCUCGUAGGCGGUCUGUCGCGUCUCUGUGAAAACUCGGGGGCUUAACCCCCGGGCCUGGCAGUGGGGUACGGGGCAGACUAGAGUGCGGUAGGGGGAGAAUGGAAUUCCCGGUGUAGCGGUGAAAUGCGCAGAUAUCGGGAGGAACACCGGUGGCG
rnacentral:rRNA from 1 species